GGGGAGUGUACUGAGAAUAACUCAGUAUCCCUACAUGGAAAGGUUUUCUUAGAUGGGGAAUUAUAAACCUAUUGAGAAAUAUUGUGUCAAUUACUUUUGUAUGUAGUCAUGUAUAUUAUAUUACGUGUUGUAAGAAUUAAAUUAAGGCAUACAAUGUAUUUCUAGGGUUAUUUAUGUUUUGUUAAUUAAGUGAGCGUUUCAUGGUUGUGGGUGAUGAGGUGGCAGGGACGCUACGUGGCAGGUGCUCACGCAGGCUCGGUCAGUUCCUAGUCGGUGAGGGGUGUGAUUAGUCGACGGACUGCGUUGGCUGGGGGUGUUACGUGAUUGUGUCGGAAGUAUCCUGUCGUUAGCUGGGUUGUGCUUGUGCCCCUGCUUGUGCACAAGUAGACGCGAGUUGAUCGAGUGGUGUGAAGGAUUGUGACGAAUGUACCCUGCCAGUAGACAGAUGUCUUCAUGUCUUCAUUUGGAUGGUGCUUUGGGUACUUAACGUGUGGGAUCCGAGGUGUUGUAACAUAGCAGUAACCAGGACGCUAGGAAGGGAGGCACUGUGUUGGACCCAAUAAAGGUGUUUACUGCCA
rnacentral:lncRNA from 1 species